rnacentral:rRNA from 1 species
AUUGAACGCUGGCGGCAGGCCUAACACAUGCAAGUCGAACGAGUGGCGGACGGGUGAGUAAUGUCUGGGAAACUGCCCGAUGGAGGGGGAUAACUACUGGAAACGGUAGCUAAUACCGCAUACCAUCGGAUGUGCCCCGAUGGGAUUAGCUAGUAGGUGGGGUAAAGGCUCACCUAGGCGACGAUCCCUAGCUGGUCUGAGAGGAUGACCAGCCACACUGGAACUGAGACCCGGUCCAGAUUCCUACGGGAGGGAGCAGGGGGGAAUAUUGCACAAUGGGAGCAAGCCUGAUGCAGCCAUGCCGCGUGGAGGAAGAAGGCUUUCGGGUUGUAAAGUACUGGCAGCGAGGAGGCGUUACUCGCAGAAGAAGCACCGGCUAACUCCGUGCCAGCAGCCGCGGUAAUUC